rnacentral:rRNA from 1 species
AACGCGAAGAACCUUACCUGGGCUCGAACGGCUUCGGACUAUCCUUGGAAACAGGGACUUCCCGCAAGGGACUGGAGUCGAGGUGCUGCAUGGCUGUCGUCAGCUCGUGUCGUGAGAUGUUGGGUUAAGUCCCGCAACGAGCGCAACCCUUGUCCUGUGUUGGCAUGCCGCAAGGCGCAACUCUCAGGAGACCGCCAGCGAUAAGUUGGAGGAAGGUGGGGAUGACGUCAAGUCAUCAUGGCCUUUAUGUCCAGGGCCACACACGUGCUACAAUGGGCGGUACAAAGCGCUGCCAACCCGCGAGGGGGAGCUAAUCGCCAAAAACCGUCCUCAGUUCGGAUUGCAGGCUGCAACUCGCCUGCAUGAAGCUGGAAUCGCUAGUAAUGCUAUAUCAGAACGAUAGCGUGAAUACGUUCCCGGGCCUUGUA